GAUGAAGAACGUAGCGAAAUGCGAUAAGUAAUGUGAAUUGCAGAAUUCAGUGAAUCAUCGAAUCUUUGAACGCACAUUGCGCCCGCCAGUAUUCUGGCGGGCAUGCCUGUUCGAGCGUCAUUUCAACCAUCAAGCCCCCGGCUUGUGUUGGGGACCUGCGGCUGCCGCAGGCCCUGAAAACCAGUGGCAGGCUCGCUGUCACACCGAGCGUAGUAGAUUUUCAUCUCGCUCAGGGCGUGCUGCGGGUUCCGGCCGUAAAAAGCCUUAUUUACCCAAGGUUGACCUCGGAUCAGGUAGGAAGACCCGCUGAACUUAAGCAUAUCAAUAAGCGGAGGA
rnacentral:misc_RNA from 1 species